rnacentral:rRNA from 1 species
UACGGAGGGUGCAAGCGUUAUCCGGAUUUACUGGGUUUAAAGGGUGCGUAGGCGGAUCUUUAAGUCAGUGGUGAAAUCUCUCGGCUCAACCGAGAAACUGCCAUUGAUACUAUUGAUCUUGAACACAGUUGAGGUGGGCGGAAUGUGUCGUGUAGCGGUGAAAUGCUUAGAUAUGACACAGAACACCGAUUGCGAAGGCAGCUCGCUAAACUGUGAUUGACGCUGAGGCACGAAAGCGUGGGGAUCAAACAGG